rnacentral:rRNA from 1 species
GAGUUUGAUCCUGGCUCAGGACGAACGCUGGCGGCGUGCUUAACACAUGCAAGUCGAACGCUGAAGCUUGGUGCUUGCACUGGGUGGAUGAGUGGCGAACGGGUGAGUAAUACGUGAGUAACCUGCCCUUGACUCUGGGAUAAGCCUGGGAAACUGGGUCUAAUACUGGAUAUGACAUGCCACUGCAUGGUGGUGUGUGGAAAGGGUUUACUGGUUUUGGAUGGGCUCACGGCCUAUCAGCUUGUUGGUGGGGUAAUGGCCUACCAAGGCGACGACGGGUAGCCGGCCUGAGAGGGUGACCGGCCACACUGGGACUGAGACACGGCCCAGACUCCUACGGGAGGCAGCAGUGGGGAAUAUUGCACAAUGGGCGGAAGCCUGAUGCAGCGACGCCGCGUGAGGGAUGACGGCCUUCGGGUUGUAAACCUCUUUCAGCACGGAAGAAGCGAGAGUGACGGUACGUGCAGAAGAAGCGCCGGCUAACUACGUGCCAGCAGCCGCGGUAAUACGUAGGGCGCAAGCGUUGUCCGGAAUUAUUGGGCGUAAAGAGCUCGUAGGCGGUUUGUCGCGUCUGCUGUGAAAGCCCGGGGCUUAACCCCGGGUGUGCAGUGGGUACGGGCAGACUUGAGUGCAGUAGGGGAGACUGGAAUUCCUGGUGUAGCGGUGAAAUGCGCAGAUAUCAGGAGGAACACCAAUGGCGAAGGCAGGUCUCUGGGCUGUUACUGACGCUGAGGAGCGAAAGCAUGGGGAGCGAACAGGAUUAGAUACCCUGGUAGUCCAUGCCGUAAACGUUGGGCACUAGGUGUGGGGAACAUUCCACGUUUUCCGCGCCGUAGCUAACGCAUUAAGUGCCCCGCCUGGGGAGUACGGCCGCAAGGCUAAAACUCAAAGGAAUUGACGG